CGAUCUCCAGAUCUGUUGAUCGUUUCGCCUGCCAAGUUACACGAUCGUUGCACUAGCUACACGGUGGAAUCCGCUCACUGGACCGACUUCAUUGGAUCAGAAUCGAUCGGGGUGAAUGAAUUCAAGGGUAUCCGCUCACUGGACUGACUUCAUUGAUUGUUAGGUGAUCAGAUUAAAUCAGGCCUUUGUCAUCAGUUUGGACUUUCACUGCCAAUUGCAUCAUCAGGCGAGCGUGUCUUCCAUGCCAUGUGAAAUUACCGAAAACGUAACCUGGAGGAGGCACAUCCACAUGGAAGCUAACUGUGAAAGUCUUCUUUUCGCCGUAUUUCUCGAAGACCAGAACUUCUGGUGUUACUGUCACGUUGAUGCCUCGAGGAGCAGACACCACAGCACGGUAUGGUAUGGUGAUCGAUGGGUAGUUCAAAGCAGUAGCAGAAGAGGGAGCUCUGUCGGUACAGGCUGUGCGUCAAAGAUGAUCCCUGGGUUGAGAGCUUUGACGGGAUCCAUAAAACCCGAGCCGAAGUCAAAUGGGGUUGCAGUCCUCCCAUCAGGGUCCGUGGUCAUGGGUUUUCUUUUGUUAUCCAGUACAGUUGCUGCAAAUAAGAUUCGUGAGAUUUUUUGCAACCCUAGUUUGUCUUCAGAACAUGAUCCAGUUAUCCACUGAUACCUGUUGUCAUGAUUGCUGAUUUGAUUGCUGAAGGAGACCAUGAUGGAUAUACACUUUUGACGAGAGCUGCUAUUCCAGUAACAUGGGGACACGCCAUGGAAGUUCCAGAUAGGAUGUUGAAGUGCAUGUCAUUCUUAGCAGGAGACCAUGCCGCCAAGAUGUUCAGCCCAGGAGCAGCGACAUCCGGCUACAAAAUGCAGAUAUGGAGAAGGAAGUAAGAAACAUAUAAAUCAAUUUAGGAUCCAGCAGUCUUUCCCUAGUUUAAUGCUGGUUACCUUCAGAAUCUCUGGUGUCAAUGAACUUGGACCUCUUGAAGAGAAUGCGGCUACACGGGGGGCAUCUCGGGACCCUAAGAACGUCUUCGCUGGCAAGAUCAUUGUACUGGCAUGCCUGUAGAAUUUAUUUUAGAAAAAAGAUUGACAUGCCAAUAAAAUGCCCUUUCUGUUGUUCGUGUGACAACCUUGUACUCUUGGUGUAAGAAAGAAUUUUGUCGCCCAUUGCUUUCCCAACAGCAGUAGCAGGAAGAGCAAAGUGAUUAGCAACAUGAUCCCCCAUCUCAUCGA